GUGGUGGCAUCUCUCUGUUUCCUGGGAUCCAGGAGCCCGGUUGGGGAAUCCUUACUUCAGGAAGUGCAGCCGCGGCUCAGUGUUUUGAGAGUGCAAGUGCUUGUCAGGGUGCGUGUCUGGUUGUUUGUGCGUGGCGUCAGAGCACCUCGAGUAUGCGCGUGCGCACCGCCUUCCAGAGCUUUUGCACAGAGCUGGAAAUUGGGGGUACUCGAUUGUAGCUUUCGGGGAGUUUUCCGUGUAGCAGGAGAGAGGCAAACUAUCCAGGAUGCUUUGGGACCGGGAGCGUCAUUUAAAUCGAUGGAUGUCAGAGAGGGGCUUCUCAGAAGGCUCCGCCUGUAUGAGUUUUGAGGAGUCCGUGAAAGUUGACCCGAUGUCAUUUGUCAGAGUGAACCGCUGUGGUCCCCGAGUUGGUGUAAGAAAGACACCAAAAGUAAAGAAGAAGAAAACUUCGGUGAAACAAGAAUGGGAUAAUACUGUGACUGAUCUAACAGUUCAUCGGGCAACUCCUGAAGAUCUGGUACGCCGUCAUGAAAUACACAAAUCAAAGAAUAGAGCAUUAGUACACUGGGAACUCCAAGAAAAAGCUUUGAAGAGAAAAUGGAGGAAGCAGAAACCUGAAACUUUAAAUCUUGAGAAAAGAAGAUUGUCUAUCAUGAAGGAGAUUCUUUCUGAUCAAUACCAGAUGCAAGAUGUAUUGGAGAAAUCUGAUCAUCUAAUAGCUGCAGCAAAAGAGUUGUUUCCUCGUAGGCGCACAGGGUUUCCAAAUAUAACAGUGGCUCCUGAUUCCUCUCAGGGUCCCAUUGUGGUAAAUCAAGACCCUGUCACCCAAUCUGUCUUUAAUGAGUCUGUCAUAGAACCUCAGGCUCUUAAUGAUGUAGAUGGUCAAGAAGAAGGAACUAUUAAUAGCCAGUCAGGAGAAAGUGAGAAUGAGAAUGAGUUGGAUAACUCUCUAAACUCUCAGUCUAACACAAAUACAGACAGGUUUCUCCAGCAACUGACGGAAGAGAAUUCUGAGUUAAUUAGUAAGUUGUGGACUGAUAUUCAGCAGAAAAUAGCAACCCAGUCACAAGUAACCCCUCCAGGAACACCAUCACCUGCUCUUUCAUCAGGGGAACAAAGAGCUGCUCUGAAUGCUACCAAUGCUGUCAAGAGACUCCAAACCAGGCUUCAGCCUGAAGAAUCUACUGAGACUCUAGACUCAAGCUAUGUUGUGGGACACGUGCUGAACUCAAGGAAGCAAAAACAGCUGUUAAAUAAAGUGAAAAGAAAACCGAAUUUGCAUGCUCUUUCCAAGCCGAAGAAAAACAUGUUAUCAGGUAGCACAACUUCUGCAGACUUACCAAAUAGGACUAAUUCCAACCUGGAUGUCCUCAAACACAUGAUACAUGAAGUGGAACACGAAAUGGAAGAAUAUGAGCGGUGUACAGGUCGCGAGGUCAAGGGACUGCAGAGCAGUCAGGGUCUUACAGGCUUCACUUUGUCAUUGGUGAGCUCCCUCUGUCGCCUGGUUCGGUACCUUAAAGAGAGUGAGAUCCAGCUACGUAAAGAAGUAGAGACAAGGCAACAACUGGAACAAGUAUUAGGUGAUCAUCGAGAGCUCAUUGAUGCUCUGACAGCUGAAAUUCUUCGUCUUAGAGAAGAAAAUGCUACUACACAGGCAAGACUUCAGCAGUACAUGGUCACAACAGACGAGCAACUUAUAUCACUCACAUAUGCUAUUAAGAACUGUCCUGUGAUAAAUAACAGACAAGAAAUUCAGGCAUCAGAAAGGGGAGCCACAGGUAGAAGAAAUAUGGACAGUUCAGAGGGUCCAGCUGUAAAUGCCAAUGUCUCAGUGCCAUUGAUGUUCAGAGAGGAAGAGGUGGUUGAAUUCCCACAGGAAGAGUUGCCUGUUAAACUGUCUCAGGUGCCAGACCCUCCAGAUAACAUGACUCUGGCCAAGAAUUUUCCAGCACAUAUUUUUGAGCCAGCUGUGUUGUUAACACCACCCAGGCAGAAGAGCAACUUAAAAUUCUCUCCUCUUCAGGACGUAUUGAGAAGGACUGUUCAAACUCGUCCUGCUCCACGACUUCCUCCAACGGUGGAAAUAAUUGAGAAGGAACAAAAUUGGGAAGAGAAGACCUUACCUGUUGAUACAGAUAUUCAGAAUUCAAGUGAAGAGAAUCGUCUCUUCACUCAGAGGUGGAGAGUCUCUCAUAUGGGAGAAGAUUUGGAGAACAAAACUCAGGCUCCUUUUGUUAACCUCUCACAGCCCCUCUGCAAUUCCCAUUCCAACACUCAACAGUCAAGAAACCCCACAUUCUCAGAAGAGCUCCCAGUACUGGGAGAUGGACAGCAGCUCAGAACAAAUGAGGCAUUAAUACAAAGAAAGGACAUAAUGGCACGAAUUGCUGAUUUGACAUUGCAGAAUUCAGCUAUGAAGGCACAUACAAAUAGUAUUAUUGAGCCCAGAGGAGAGCAAGGGGAUGGAUUCCGGGAGUUGAACAAACAAGAAAGUGCAAGUGACAUGACUUCUACUUUUCCAAUAGCACAGUCUCUAGCACCAGGUAGCAUGGAGGAACGGAUUGCAGAAUUGAAUCGACAAAGUAUGGAGGCUCGUGGAAAACUACUGCAGUUGAUAGAGCAGCAGAAACUUGUUGGUUUGAAUCUUUCUCCACCAAUGUUACCUGUUCAGUUACCUCUCAGAGCAUGGACUGGUUGGUCACAAAUUCAUGAUUUAAAAACUAGAAAUAUGAAGGUUUUCACUUUUCUUGGUUUUGCAAGUUUAUAUUGAAUCAAAAGAAAUAUCAAAGCAUAUAUUUUGGUGCCUUCAAUUUUACACAGAAAGAAACAGCCCUAACUCACAGGAUAAGUGAUAGAAAUGGGAUUAGAAGGCAGAUCUCCUGAUUCUUUCUAUCCUAUGAUGCCUAUAGUUAAUCUUCGGUGUCUGAGUUCCUAAAUUAUCCUACAUCUAAAUGGGAUUCAUUAUAGUGUACGGUUCACUUAGGUCAUAUGCUGCAACUAAGCAUGAAAUAUCUGAAUGUUAAUUUAGAAUUUCAUCAGCAACAAAUUACAACUUAUUCUGUAAAACAGUUAAAGCAUUUUCACUCAUUAAUUAAAUUUUCUGUUACAUUUAGGAAUGUGAAAAGCUAGAGGGGAUUCUGAAUAAUAAAAUAGUAACUGAAAAAAUUGUCAUAGUAUUCACAUUCAAAAAGAUACUGGUGAAACGAAGUAUAUAUCAAGUUGUUUUUAUCAGAAAUUGCAUUAUUAAGGCCCUCAAGGGACAGAGCUACAUGAAGAGUACAGAGAGAUUGAUUUUGGUCCAGUAAAAGAGAAGGCUGUAAUUGUCAGGAAUAGAAAAAGCUCCGUGUACUAGUAAUUGAUGUGUUCUCUGAGAUGUUCAAACAUUGGUGUUUGAGGGGGACUCAAAUAUGUCUUAUUUCUGGUUGAAGUAGGUUACCUUUAAGGUAUCUUCCAAUAAGAGUUUUCCCCUCAGAAAUUAUUUCCUUUUUGAAAUACAGACCCAGAAAGCAGACUCUUUUGGAAAUUGCUGGAAAAAGAUAGUAAUGCAUUUCCCCAUGGCCCUCUCUCUUUGUUUAUUCUAGGCUUCCUCAAAUGACAGUUUUGUCUACUGUUCUUCAUAGUUAUGAAGCCUAAAGACAACUUCUGAUUAGAAUAAAUAAAUGAACUAACUAUGUAUGAACAUGUACUAUGUGCGUGCCAUGUGUGGGCUUGAAUACUCUAGCAUUUGAGUAGGGGAGCAGGCAACAAACAAAUCAAUAUUUGGGAUAAUAUCAGUUAGUGCUAAGUGCAAGGAAGAAAAAGCAGAUCAGCCUUAAGAAUAAUUUUGUGUUUAAAUAUACAUCUUCCAUUUCAGUAUUUCUGUAUGGUUAAAAUAUGCUUUUAUUUAUGUUAUAUAAUUUAGUCCUCAACACACCUUUAGAGUAGAUAGGGCUAAUAUUAUACCUAUUUGACAAAUAAGUAAACUGGGAGGCACAAAGAGGUUAUGUGAUUUAUCAAGUUACAAAGCAAGUUGUGGAUUUGCAACUGUGUUCUUUCCUGUCCAGUGAUUUAUUUCUAAAGUAUUCUUUUUAUAAGUAAAAUUCUUAUAUUUAUUUAAAAAAAAAAAACUUCUGUGGACUAUAAUGAUAAAAGUAAAAAUAAACCAUAUGCCAUGAAAAACCUCUUUUGUUUUCUAGGUAACUGAGGAAUGUUUUGUAAAAUUAAAUAGGGUUUUAUUACCUCGUAAAGCUAGGAAGUCACACAAAGCGAGGAGCCUCUGUGAAACUGCCUAUGAUGAACAUAAAGUCUUUCAUUAGUAAAUACUUAGUAAAUAUAUGCUGAUUGAUAACCUACUUCUGAAAUAUGGAAAAUAUUCAUAAUUAUACUUGCUAUUGGCCAUAUGGAGCUCUUCAGCCAGCUUUCCUCUCCUAUUUCAAUGUCUUCAGUAAUAGUCAUAAUGUAAUUGAUUUAAAAGAUUUAAAGUUUUGCUGAAUGACUUCAGAAAUUUUCUUUUUCCUUUUUUUGGGGAAAACUUUAGGUAAGCUCUCUUGGACAAAGAUCUCAAGUUUUUAGGGCUAGCUCUUAAUUUCUGUUUUUUACCUCCAGAGCUGACAGGAUGCCACUUGUCCGAAGAUUCUGGCUCUCUAUGAACUGGCAUGCUACUGAAUUAACACUAAAGGAGCAAAGAGAACAAUUGAGGUAUCUAUUCCAGGAGCAGAAGCCUCAGAAAGCUCAAAAUGUAGUACUGUCUCUCCUGUCAGUGGGAUAA